rnacentral:rRNA from 1 species
AAAACACUUUCAGCAAUGGAUGUCUUGGCUCCCACAACGAUGAAGAACGCAGCGAAAUGCGAUACGUCAUGCGAAUUGCAACACUUAGUGAGUCAUCAAAAUUUUGAACGCAUCUUGCACUUCC